AAACGCGUGUGGUCCAAGUCCCCCAGCCUGCGGUCUCUCAAUAGAGACGCCCAGUUGACCAACGCUCGGGGUCACGUGGUAAUUUUAUAUUUAGCGUUUGGAGGAACUGCCUAACCGUUUCCCAAAGCAGCUGCGUCAUUUUACACCCUCACCCUUGUGCGGGUUCCCUUGUCCCCACAUCCUCACCUGCGCUUGUUAUGAUCUCUUUGUAAGUCACGGCCCCUCAGGACUGUGAAGAAGGAUCUCAGAGCGUGAUUCGCGUUCCUCUAACUGGGGAGUUUGGAGCAGAGGAAAAUGUGAUCAGGUCUCGUGGUGUGACAGAGUCCCUUCGACAGCCCAGGGUGAUGAGGGUGGAAACAGGGAGCUGCUGCCCAGGGCGCCGGCCGAGGAGGGAAGAGCCACCACACCAUUUUUAUUUGUCAAGUGUACGUCAAUAAAGCUGGC